rnacentral:lncRNA from 1 species
CAGGCUGGGUUGGGGACACAAGGAGGGGACACCGGUGACAGCGGCAGCGCGGCGCGUGGGGGUGCACACCUGGGCCCAGCAGCUGCCGCAGGGUUAUGACACAGGUACAGCCCCUGCAGUGUGUCCCAAAGAUGUCCUAAAAGUGUCCCAAUGGCGUGUCUGAGGUGUCCCCUUGGUCUCCCUGCUUUUCCCAAUGUGUCCCCAUCGUGUCCCCAUCGCGUCCCCAUUGUGUCCCCUGCUGUUCCCGUGAUGUCACUUCGCCACCCCCAAGGUGUCUGUGGUGUCCCCACAGUCUCCCUACCCUGUUCCUUCUGUCCCUUCUCUGUUCCCUCACUGUCCCUAUGGUGUCCCCAUGCUGUCCCCUCCAUGUCCUCUCUGCCACCUCGCUGUUUCCUCGCUGUCCCAUCUCUGUUCCCCCGUGUGUCCCAGAGCUGGGGGUGCAGGGGGUGUCCUUCCUAACAUGUCCCUUGGUGUCCCAAAUGUGUCUCCGUGGUGUCCCCUCAGUGUCCCCACGCUGCCACCACAGUGUCCCAUUGUUGUCCCCUUGCUGUCCCCUCACUGUCCCCGGAGCAGCAGGUGCACAGUGGGUGCAGCUCCCCAGUGUAUCCCUGCAAUGUCCUGUGGUGUCCCCACAGUAUCCUUGUGGUGUCCCCACGGUGUCCCCUCUGUCCCCAGAGGUGGGCCCACGGGGGAUGCAGCUUUCAGGGGGACAGGCACAAGGGGUGGCACUGGCCCGGGCACUGCUCAGGAACCCCCAGGUGCUGGUGCUGGAUGAGCCCACGAGGGCACUCGACCCCGUGACACGGCGCCAGGUAGGUCACAGCCCUGUCCCUGUGUCCCACAGCCCCAUCCCCCUGGUCCCCUGGGUCCCCAAUCCUCGUGUCCCCCAUAUGGCCUGUGUCCCCUGGGUCCCCAUGUCCCCUGGGUCCCCACUCCUUGUGUCCCCUGGGUCCCCAUGUCCUCUGGGUCCUCACUCCCUGUGUCCCCUGGGUCCCCAUGUCCCCUGGGUCCUCACUGCCUGUGUCCCCUGGGUCCCCAUGUCCUCUGGGUCCUCACUCCCUGUGUCCCCUGGGUCCCCAUGUCCUCUGGGUCCCCACUCCCUGUGUCCCCUGGGUCCCCACUCCCCAUGUCCCCUUGGUUGCUGCCCUCCUUGUCCCCUGGGGUCUCCUAGGUGGCCAAAUUCCCUGUGUCCCUGCCCCUGUGUCCCUUUGGUCCCUGUGUAUUCCCUAUGUCCCUUCCUUGUCCCCUCUGGGUUCCCAUUCCCCAUGUCCUUUGGGUCCCCAAUCCUUGUGUCACCCAUGUGCCCCGUGUCCCCUGGGUCCUCACUCCCUGUGUNNNNNNNNNNNNNNNNNNNNNNNNNNNNNNNNNNNNNNNNNNNNNNNNNNNNNNNNNNNNN